AAAGAUAUUCCAGCCACUACAAGUGUGAUUGUGAAGAAAUGCAGCGGCCUCGAGUUGGUGGAAAUCAACGUAGACGUAAUGAGACCACAUCCUGCCGACGAGAGUCGAUGGACCCACAGACUUUGAACAAAAGAGCUCCGCCUCUUGCGUGUACUCGAGGGCGGCGCGCAUCCCCAAAUAUCAGCGACGGCAGGUUGAAAGGCGCAAAAUAAGCUAAACCUCGGUGGAGUUCAGCUCGGAGAAAGAAGAAGAAAAGUACACAACGCAGACUUCAAGGCUCUCUGGCAGCGGAAAAAUGCAGCGUAUGAAAAUAAAAGUAAAAUAGAGCGAGCGCAAGCAGCAAAGGCUCCGACAACUCAGUAUCAAGAACGCGCAGUCCGGCCUCGUGAACUGGACAAGGACGGUCUUCCUAAGAAGCUUUGGCUAUAUAUGGACACAGGCACUCCUCAGUAAGAUGCACCGAUUUCUAUGUAGUUGGUCUUCACAGAGGAUAAAGACUAUAUGCAUUGAGGUGAGCGAUCGCACUUUGAUCCGUCAUUGAUCGCCUCCCCUUCCUCUCACUCCCGCCUUCUUCAAUCACUCCCCCGUUAAAACAUUGGCGGCGACCCGAGGCGUUGAAGCGCAGUGACGAGGUUAAUUGACACUCUCUCUCUCUCUCUCUCUCUCUCUCUCUCUCUGU